UACGUAGGGUCCGAGCGUUGUCCGGAAUUAUUGGGCGUAAAGAGCUCGUAGGCGGUUUGUCGCGUCUGCUGUGAAAUCCCGAGGCUCAACCUCGGGUCUGCAGUGGGUACGGGCAGACUAGAGGUAGGCAGGGGAGAGCGGAACUCCUGGUGUAGCGGUGGAAUGCGCAGAUAUCAGGAAGAACACCGGUGGCGAAGGCGGCUCUCUGGGCCUUACCUGACGCUGAGGAGCGAAAGCGUGGGUAGCGAACAGG
rnacentral:rRNA from 1 species